UACGUAGGGGGCAAGCGUUAUCCGGAUUUACUGGGUGUAAAGGGAGCGUAGACGGUUUGGCAAGUCUGAUGUGAAAACCCGGGGCUCAACUCCGGGAUUGCAUUGGAAACUGCUAGACUUGAGUGCAGGAGAGGUAAGUGGAAUUCCUAGUGUAGCGGUGAAAUGCGUAGAUAUUGGGAGGAACACCAGAGGCGAAGGCGGCUUACUGGACUGUAACUGACGUUGAGGCUCGAAGGCGUGGGGAGCAAAC
rnacentral:rRNA from 1 species